rnacentral:tRNA from 1 species
UGGCUCAUUUGGUAGAGCACAGCGCUUGCAAUGCCAAGGUUGUGGGUUCGAGUCCCAC